UUUGAUUACAUUGGUCUCACUCAGAUAACCCAGGAUCAUCUCUUUAUUUUAAGACAAUUGCCACUACAGAACCUUUCCAGGAUGCUGACACUGCCUUCACCAAUUAAUAUCUCAAAGCCAUGAUGAAGGAUAUGUACUCUGGACCUGCUUAGGUGAUAUAACAUGUUCUAUUGCAGCAACUUAUAGCUUUGACUCCUAUAAGAACUUGCCUCCCGGUGACUACAGUGCUUAUUGAAGUGACUCUUUGGCUACCACCUGCCGUAAACUAUACUAAUGACUCAUUACCACUGAAAAUGAAGGUUAUGAAUCCCUUUAAAUCUAAUCAAGUCGAAGAAUCAAUACAAGACUACCAGAUACAAGUUUCUGUGCCCUUAAGACUACUUUGAAUAUAGAGAGUUGCAUUAGUUUGGGUUUGGUUGGGCUAACAGAGUUAUAAGAAGAACUAUGAAAAUCAGUGUUUUAAUAUAUGAAUUAGAGCUUACAGAACAGAAUGAUCUGGGGAUCUGGGAUAUCUCAUAUACUAAAGCUGAAGACCUGGAGAAACUUUCACCGUGACAUAAAUGAAAGCCCUGGAACAGAGAAAGAAAGCUGCCACUUGAGAAGUCAGCAAACCAUUGCGACUUAAAAGUAAAACCUUCAAAAGACAUUUGAAAGCCUGACAUGUAUGAAUGCUAGGCUGCUCUAAACAAAAGAGCUUCUGCUUCACUCCUGUUUUCCAGAUUUCAUGCAAAUUCUUUCGUUGGCAAAUUCUAAUGCAGAAACUUACAGAUAAGGGAAUUCUGG
ensembl:lncRNA